rnacentral:rRNA from 1 species
ACGAACGCUGGCGGCACGCUUAACACAUGCAAGUCGAACGAGAGAAGAGAAGCUUGCUUUUCUGAUCUAGUGGCGGACGGGUGAGUAACACGUGAGCAAUCUGCCUUUCAGAGGGGGAUACCGAUUGGAAACGAUCGUUAAUACCGCAUAACAUAAUUGAACCGCAUGAUUUGAUUAUCAAAGAUUUAUCGCUGAAAGAUGAGCUCGCGUCUGAUUAGCUAGUUGGUAAGGUAACGGCUUACCAAGGCGACGAUCAGUAGCCGGACUGAGAGGUUGAUCGGCCACAUUGGGACUGAGACACGGCCCAGACUCCUACGGGAGGCAGCAGUGGGGAAUAUUGCACAAUGGAGGAAACUCUGAUGCAGCGAUGCCGCGUGAGGGAAGAAGGUUUUAGGAUUGUAAACCUCUGUCGUCAGAGACGAAAAAUGACGGUACCUGAGGAGGAAGCUCCGGCUAACUACGUGCCAGCAGCCGCGGUAAUACGUAGGGAGCGAGCGUUGUCCGGAAUUACUGGGUGUAAAGGGAGCGUAGGCGGGAUCGCAAGUCAGAUGUGAAAACUAUGGGCUUAACCCAUAAACUGCAUUUGAAACUGUGGUUCUUGAGUGAAGUAGAGGUAAGCGGAAUUCCUAGUGUAGCGGUGAAAUGCGUAGAUAUUAGGAGGAACAUCAGUGGCGAAGGCGGCUUACUGGGCUUUAACUGACGCUGAGGCUCGAAAGCGUGGGGAGCAAACAGGAUUAGAUACCCUGGUAGUCCACGCCGUAAACGAUGAUUACUAGGUGUGGGGGGACUGACCCCUUCCGUGCCGCAGCAAACGCAAUAAGUAAUCCACCUGGGGAGUACGACCGCAAGGUUGAAACUCAAAGGAAUUGACGGGGGCCCGCACAAGCAGUGGAGUAUGUGGAUUAAUUCGAAGCAACGCGAAGAACCUUACCAGGUCUUGACAUCGUAUGCAUAGCUCAGAGAUGAGUGAAAUCUCUUCGGAGACAUAUAGACAGGUGGUGCAUGGUUGUCGUCAGCUCGUGUCGUGAGAUGUUGGGUUAAGUCCCGCAACGAGCGCAACCCUUACUGUUAGUUGCUACGCAAGAGCACUCUAGCAGGACUGCCGUUGACAAAACGGAGGAAGGUGGGGAUGACGUCAAAUCAUCAUGCCCCUUAUGACCUGGGCCUCACACGUACUACAAUGGCUGUCAACAGAGGGAAGCAAAGCCGCGAGGUGGAGCAAACCCCUAAAAGCAGUCUUAGUUCGGAUUGUAGGCUGCAACCCGCCUACAUGAAGUCGGAAUUGCUAGUAAUCGCAGAUCAGCAUGCUGCGGUGAAUACGUUCCCGGGCCUUGUACACACCGCCCGUCACGCCAUGGGAGUCGGUAACACCCGAAGCCUGUAGUCUAACCGCAAGGAGGACGCAGUCGAAGGUGGGAUUGAUGACUGGGGUG